GGCCUGUCGCAGCAUACAAGUUCUCCAUCGACUACACAGCACAAAGAUGAUUCAUUACUGACAAACAGAUCAAGGCUCGUCACCAAAUGAAUGGAAAAUACUGUGAUAAACGAUCCACUGACCCUGCUCUUCUCAGUGGGCAGCAGGGAGAGCAACGUGCUGCUGUCCACCUCUCCCAUCAGCAGUUCCGACACACUGAGGAGAAACACAACAAAGACACCUUUACACCAGCAAAUGGGACAGAAGUAAAAAUAUACUGUAAAUAUGAAUGAAUCAAUGUGGCAGUAAUAAUCACCUGUGUGUAAAAAAUGGCCCAGUGGGGGACGCAUAGAGCAGAUUUUAAAAAUGAAAGAAAAAAGUGGAAGUGCCCUUGUAGGAAAUAUCAACAGGUACAAAUGUACCAGAGACAGGAAGUGAUAAGUUACUUUUAUCUGCCGGAUAUGAUCUUAUUCUCCAACCUUCUUACUGUAUGUCAAACUACUCAUUUGUAAUAAUUUUAUUUUUCCAACAUAUCCCUCAUCCACUCGAUAAAAAUAAAAUUUUUUUGCAUCCUUUAGUUGACUUGUUGGCUGUAAUACAGGCUAAACAAAAAACAUGGCACCUCCAUCUUGGUGUUUUUCUGUUCACGACAGAAAUGGAGUCAAACGAAGGACGAGUGGAGGAGAGAAUGAGGAAACAGACUCGUCAGGCAGAUCUCAACUAUCUCUACCAGCUCACUUCCUCUUAAAGCUCUCUGACAGAUGUCUAAACCCUGAAAUGGCACAGACUAGCAUGUGAUAAAUUGUUGGUGCAAUAUACUUCAAUUACACAGAAAACUGACAAAUUUCUCUACUCUAGGUUUACUUUUAAUAAUCAACAUAUUGUCAUGUUUAGAUUUUGUAAGAUUGAAAACGUUCAGUUAGAAAACAAUCUUGGAAAAACUGACUUGAUUUCAGAGUUGCCACAUUUAAUAAUUUGUUUUGGUCUCACUCCUCUGAAUUAUCUUAAAUCAAGAGAACAUUCUUGUGAUUUAUUAUCUCCCUGGUCUGUAGCAAUCUGUUCAUUUAGCAGCCAGGUAGUCAUUUUCAAGUUUGGGUUUGUGUCACAUGGUAGAAGAAACCACUUCCUGUUUUCAGCUCUGCCUCAUGCAAAUGUGUCACCAUCACUGCACUUCUUUCUCCAAUUGCCAACAACAGACUACUUUGUACACAUUACACACACACACA